rnacentral:pre_miRNA from 1 species
CAACUACUCCCUCUGUCCCAAAUUUCUUGUCUUAGAUUUGUCUAGAUACAAAUGUAUCUAAUACUAAAAUGUGACUUGAUACAUCCGUAUCUACACAAAUCUAAUACAAGAAUUUUGGGAUAGAGGGAGUACUUU